AUUGAACGCUGGCGGCAGGCCUAACACAUGCAAGUCGAGCGGAUGAAGGCAGCUUGCUCCUGGAUUCAGCGGCGGACGGGUGAGUAAUGCCUAGGAAUCUGCCUGGUAGUGGGGGAUAACGUCCGGAAACGGGCGCUAAUACCGCAUACGUCCUGAGGGAGAAAGUGGGGGAUCUUCGGACCUCACGCUAUCAGAUGAGCCUAGGUCGGAUUAGCUAGUUGGUGGGGUAAAGGCCUACCAAGGCGACGAUCCGUAACUGGUCUGAGAGGAUGAUCAGUCACACUGGAACUGAGACACGGUCCAGACUCCUACGGGAGGCAGCAGUGGGGAAUAUUGGACAAUGGGCGAGAGCCUGAUCCAGCCAUGCCGCGUGUGUGAAGAAGGUCUUCGGAUUGUAAAGCACUUUAAGUGGGGAGGAAGGGCAGUAAGUUAAUACCUUGCUGUUUUGACGUUACCGACAGAAUAAGCACCGGCUAACUUCGUG
rnacentral:rRNA from 1 species